rnacentral:rRNA from 1 species
GACGAACGCUGGCGGCGUGCUUAACACAUGCAAGUCGAACGGAGCGAAUGAAAGCUUGCUUUUAUAAGCUUAGUGGCAAACGGGUGAGUAACACGUAGACAACCUGCCGACAGGAUGGGGACAACAUUCCGAAAGGAAUGCUAAUACCGAAUGAAGUCGAGGGAAGGCAUCUUCCUUCGAUGAAAGAUGGCCUCUAUAUAUAAGCUAUCACCUGUUGAUGGGUCUGCGUCUGAUUAGCUGGUAGGUGAGGUAACGGCUCACCUAGGCGACGAUCAGUAGCCGGUCUGAGAGGAUGAACGGCCACAUUGGGACUGAGACACGGCCCAGACUCCUACGGGAGGCAGCAGUGGGGAAUCUUCCGCAAUGGGCGCAAGCCUGACGGAGCAACGCCGCGUGAGUGAAGAAGGUCUUCGGAUCGUAAAGCUCUGUUGAUGGGGACGAACGUGCCUAAUGCGAAUAGUUUUA